GGACCCGCACAAGUAGUGGAGCAUGUGGUUUAAUUCGAAGAUACGCGCAGAACCUUACCAACACUUGACAUGUUCGUCGCGACUCUAAGAGAUUAGAGUUUUCGGUUCGGCCGGACGAAACACAGGUGCUGCAUGGCUGUCGUCAGCUCGUGUCGUGAGAUGUUGGGUUAAGUCCCGCAACGAGCGCAACCCUCACUUUUAGUUGCCAUCAUUAAGUUGGGCACUCUGAAAGAACUGCCAGUGAUAAGCUGGAGGAAGGUGGGGAUGACGUCAAGUCCUCAUGGCCCUUACGUGUUGGGCUACACACGUGCUACAAUGGUAUCUACAACAGGAAGCAAAGAGGUGACUCCUAGCUAAUCCCAAAAAUGUGUCUCAGUUCGGAUUGCACUCUGCAACUCGAGUGCAUGAAGCUGGAAUUGCUAGUAAUCG
rnacentral:rRNA from 1 species